rnacentral:lncRNA from 1 species
AUAUUCAAGGGUGUGUUUUCUCCACCCAUGAGAAAAGUUCAUCAUUAUUUGCUUAGCUUGCUUUUGAUCCAUGAAAUCCUGCUGAUUCAGCAGGGAUGUGUGAACAAAGCCUAUGUCGCCUUGGCAGCAGCAAGAGUUUUAGAAGAACCCUUCUCAGCUUUGGCUUUUGAUGCACCGCCUUCUUUUUCCCACGAUGCUCUGUCUCACUAUGAUUUCAGGGCAGCACUGCGAGGGCGAACUAGGAGACCUAGGCUUUCUCCACCAUCUCCAGUUAUCAAUAUCCCUAUUCAUUUCAAGAGUCCACCACCGUCGCCUCCAUCUCAUCCACCGCCGUCGCCGCCACUAGCACCGGCACCGCCGCCACCAUGUUAAAUUGUUUAUGUAUGUUGGUUGGAACAGUCAGAACUAUAUAUGUAUCCAGAAGUGCACCCAUGUAUUGCUUCAAACAAAAUCAUCGGGCUCUUAUUAGUGCUUUGAUCUCCCUGUGUCUUUCUUAAUUUCCAAUAAAAAUUGAAACACUGGCUCCUAGUGUUAAUAAUUAUCACUUCAAUCUGUAUGUCGUAGCAGUUUUUACAUUACUUAAUUAUAUGAUAUUCCUUUUUUCAAGUUUUGUGGUGGAUUCUGCCUUGUCAUUUCUGAGGAAAAAUUGCGUGACAUAUUCCUGUUUAUGCAUUUAUUUUUUUAUUCCCUUUUCCUCCUCAUUGAAGUGAUUUUUGUUUUAUUUUUCCCUUAGACUAAUGGACUAGGCCUUGCCUUGUUAUUAGUAUUUUAAAGGGAUUCGUCAAAUAAUUGAAAAAGGGCUUAUUGAUGAAAAGUCAAAAACUCAAAAGCAUACUUUAACAUUUAAUUAAAUUUAAAAUUUUGAUGGUAAUCUGGCAAAUGGGCUGAUAUGGGGACACGGGGUCCUUUUUUCGUUCAUGGUGUUGGUGGGCUGAGCGGAUGCAAAGUGAUGUACCAUCUCCACAGAAUUCAAUUUCCAUUUUGAUACCCUAUUUCAUCAAAUGAGCACAUCUAAAACUUUAACACAUCGUGGAUAGCUGGAUUUAGCAGAAAACUGGGAUAUGCUACCAAUAUUCUUGCUGAGUUGUGGGGGAUAAGGGAUGGACUAUCCUUAGCUUCCUCUCUAAACUUGCAAAAUGUUGAAUUAGAAGUUGAUGCUAAAACUGCUCUACACUUGUUUAAAUCUGCAGAUACCUCAACUCAUGAGUAUGCUUCAAUUAUCUCUGAUUGCAGGUUCCUGAUCUCUGCUCUGCCGAAAGUCACACUUAGACAUGUUUACCGAGAAGCAAACCAGUGUGCUGACAGAUUGGCAAAAUUGGGUGCUCAAUAAGACGGAAAUUUUGUAUGCUAUGAAAGUAUCCCUUAUGCUUUAAGAGGUCUAGUAGAUGCAGAUCUUAAGGGAAUUUGUUUCCCGCGUUUUGUACCUAUACCUUAAGUUUGUUUAAUAUAUAGUCCCUUUUAUUACCAAAAAAAAAAAUAAAACUUUAACACAUGCCAGUGUCCACUAGAACACUGGAAAAUGAAAUUAAAAGAUUUUGUAACUUGAAAAUGUAGUAAUAACUCGGCAUGAACAAACCCAAUGUCUCGUCGCCUGUAAGUUGUGUCCACUCAUCGACCGCCGUCAGUCAACUGUGAUUUACCACCAUUAGGUUCACUUUCAUAAGAUCUUUCAAUUUCCAGCCAAUUCAUGCUGGGAUAUUAAUCAGUAGUAGGAGUAAAAUUUUACUUUUAACUAGGGGUGGGCAAAAAUACCCGCUGACCCGAAAAUUCGAGAGAUCCGAUCCGAUCUGCACCGAAAAAUAGGAUAUCCAAUCUGAUUUCUCUUAGCGGAUCAGAUAGGGUCGGGUACCCGGAACAUUCGGAUAUGGGUACGGAUCGUAAAAGCAAAAACCCGCGGGUACCUGACCCAGGGGUAUAAUAUAUAAAUAUUAAAAAAUAUAGGGGCAAUUUUAUAAUUUUUUAAGUUAUUAACCCUAAGUUCCUAACCUAAAUCAAUCCGUUGGUCAUCCAUUCAGAUUUCAGCCUCUGCUUCAGCCGACACUCUUCACUCUUCAGUGGCGGAUGCCCUUGUCUCUCAAACCUAGGGCCGAAGACUACCGUUAAAACCCCUCAAACUGCUUGAAUCGAAUCCCUUUCUCUUCAGCCCUGUUUCUCCGUUGUCGUCCUUUUUUACCUUCAAGUAAAGGGACGCUGCCAAAAGGCCGCCGACGCCGGAGCCGGGUGCUUUAGCUAUCAAGGUUUUUCAAUAACUCUUUUCUUUUAAGUUCAAUUCUUUCUGCAAAACUAUUCUGCAUCUAUGUGUACGUCUAUGCAUUUGUCGAAUUGGCUACAUGAAUUCUAAUCUUUCGUCCAAAUCGAAACUGGGUUGUACAAUUAAGAUUAGGAAUUGCUGGACCCAUACAGAAAAAAGAAAAAAAAAACGAAAAAGGGGGUCGGCAUAAAUGGUACAGAUACGGAAACAAAUUCUGGCCAUAAUUUUCCAUGGAGAUACUCUUCAUGAUAGGAGAAAAAUGAAGCAGCCCUUUUCUUUCUAAUUCAUCUUUAGAAAUCAACAAAUUUUUAGUUGUCCACUUUUUCGGAUUUCUUUUCUUCCUAAUGAUGGGAUCUAAUCUAAAUGCAAGGCACGUACAUUUCCAAUAAUACUAAGAUAGAAUGAAGCUCUGGUGGUCACAUGCGACAUGUUCUGAAGUAUACAUAUGCCUGGAAUGAAGCGACAUGCUCUGGAAUGAAGACAGCUUCUUGAUUUAUGCAUAGUCAAUGCAUUAUGCCAUGUUUGCUGGAUUUGAGAAUGUCUAUAUAGUGUAUAUUUUUCUCAUUUAUAUACCCUUUUUGGAAGUUAUGUAUCAAAGUAGAUAUUUCUAACUUUAUGAUUUGGUGUGGAACUACUGCUACUGAUCAUUUUUGAGAUUUGAAUAUGCUUCGUCUUUGUCUAGUUUGAAUGAUGUUGUUGCCCUUUUUUUUUUUUUUUUUUUUUUUUUUGAAUGAUGCUAUCGUCCAGCAGGUUCAUCUUAUGUCUUAUGAGUUUGCAUAAUUUGCAUUCUUUAAAUAGGGGCGGAUACCCUAUGACCCGUCCCUAUUUUUCGGGUAUUCGACGAUCGGGUACCCGAGGAAGAUUGGAGCGGAUUAGGGUCAAAAAAAUAGUGACCCGAUAUGUUAGGGUCGGGUCAGCCAAUUAGCGUUCGGGGCGGGUACCCGACCCGUGCCUACCCCUACUUUUAACCCAUGGCAGCGAUCUUGACUUUUACAUAGGUGGAGGGAGAUUUUAUUUUAGGAGGGGUGGAAGGCCAUUUUCCCCUUUUCAGACACCCAAAGAAAAAUGGUACUUUAACUUCUCAUGCACCCACUUUCUUAUAUUAUUCCGUAAUUUUGAUGAAAUGUAAGAAACUGAUCCGAUCCCCCAAGAGAGUACGUGAGAUUUAGUUCUUCAAUUUUACAUGACUAGUAAAAAAUAGAGAAUUAACUAAGUUUUUAUACGCUUUCUGCUGGUAGUUCGAUUGAUUUCGUAAUCUGGUAAUUACUAACAGAUAUCAUGAUCAUUUUCCGUAUAUAAUUUUAUUGUGUAUUCUUGAGACAAAAUGUUACGUAACUUUAGUAAAUUAGUCUGGUUGAAAAGUUGAGAUAUUCUUAAGUGAAAAAAAAAAGCAAAAAAAGCUCUUAUGCUUUGAACAUUCUAUAGUCUUUCACGUGUUACCCUGUUGAGACUUAAAACGAGAAUAGAUUUGAGUUUCAUUUGCACAUGGACUGGCUAGAGGUCCAAGCCGAUGUUGACCUUAGUGCCACAUCUGCUCUUAUCCAAAAGUAGCUGAAUUUGACUUCGAAAUAAAGGCUCUUCAUCGUCCUCCACCUGUCCACCACCACCAACGCACCAUUAAAUCAGUAUAAUGUGUGUGUAUAUAUAUAUAUAUAUAUAUAUAUAUUUAUUGGUAAUAGUUCCACUGUAUAAAAUGCUAUAGGACUUAGUGUAGCUAUCUAAUUAGAAGUUAGAAGAACAGGUUGAAAAAUGAAGAUCACAUGUCUUUGAUAACAUUCCUUUUGAUGUAUGAACCGGCUAUGCUAUAGGGCUACUACUAGGGCAGGGGCUCUCCUGCCUUGGAAAUGCUCCCCGAUGAAUUUUGCAGCCGCGGUGUCUAUAGGAGAUCCUCCUCCGCCGCCACCAAACCCCAAAGCCCCGUAAUUAGGGGUGCGCCGGGUUGGAUAUUCGCUUCAUUCACCGUUUGACUGAUCCGACCCACAUUUUGCGAGUCAGUCAUUUUUUUACCCUUAUUCGUCCCGUAUAUCAGUGGGUACUCUAUAAUCGGGUAUCCGCUAAGAUAGGAUCGGAUCAACGGGUACCCGUCCCGUCCCAUUUAUCAUUUAAUUAAAAAAAUAAUUUACAUCAAUUUAAUUUUAUAUUUUACACAUUCAUAUAAGAUUUAAAAAAUAUUUUUUUUCUAAAAAAAAGAUUUCCUACCAAAAAACAAGCAUGUGAAGAAAAUAUAAGAUAAAGGAAAAAAAUUAAAAGAAUUCGAAAUCAAUAAAAAUUUGAAAUAAGUAGCAUACUUUUUAAUAUAUAUGUUCCACAUUAAUUAAAUUUUUUUCUAUAAAAUAUAAGAUCAUGGCCUCUACAAAUGAAUCUUGUAAAUAAACUAUAGUUUUUCAUAUUUAUAAUGCAAUUUGUUCAAUAAAAUUACUUAUUUAGUUCUUAUUAUUUUAUAAUGUGUGUACAAAAAUAAAAAAUAUAUAUAUAUAUUUAUACGGGGGAUCGGGUACCUGUGGAUUUUUAAUUAUGUGACUUUAACUUGCUUUGCAUCUUAGCGGGUACCCGACCCUCUUUUGAUCCGAUCAAAUAAUAAAAAUCGGAUAUCCUAAUUUUCGAAUCGGAUCGGAUCGGAUAUGACAAAUUUUCGGAUUAGCGGAUAAUUUUACCCACCCCCAGUAAUCCUAGUCGUCCUUUUAUAUCUACUCAUCACUCGCAGGCACCGCCACCACCACAUUCUUCUCAGUCACUUAGAGCUAUGUGUGUCAAAAUAAAAUUAUUUAUCGUUUUUUUAUGAAUGCCUUUGCCAUACUAUCAUUGGUGACUUCACAAUUGUACUUUACCAUGUUUGGGUUUUUCACAGGUCAAAUUUGAGGGAGUUUUCUAUGUAUGAAAUUUAUCACAAAUGCAUUCACAAAUUAUAGCGUCCUAGAUAGGUGAUUGGUGGAAUAUUUACCGUCCAUUCCUUCUCGGUUAAAGCUCGAUUUAUGCUUUCUCCAGAAUGACAAAAUGUAAAUUAAUUAAACAAUAUUUUGUUUGAAGUUUGGACCAUUACGAUAUUAACUAACCCAGCAAAUGCUCCGGAACACGUACAGUAUGCGAAUUUAAUAUUGCCCCGGUAAAAGUAUGAACCCAUUUUUUAAUAAUGUUUGCCAGAGCACUAGCUAGAGCUUCGAGUUAUCUAUCUUAAAAUCUCAAUCUUUACAUUUUCUUUUUGGUCAUUGGGGGAGGUCCAACUAGAUCUAUAGGAGAGUCGAUGGAGACUGAAUCACCAUCAUAUUAAACAGGUGUACUAUGCACGAUUUAAUAAAAAUCACAUAUUAUAAUAAAUGAUGAAAGGUAAGAUUUGAAUUCUUGACCUUUCACUCACUCAUAAAGACUUAAAGUGUUUGGUGGCCGCCAACUCAAAUGACCGGUGGUUUCUCAACCUUCACAUUUGCUAUAUCAAAUUCUCGACCUUUGAGUUUCACUAACUAAUUACGGGCUUGUUUGGAGCUUGAGUUUUUUGGGAAUUUAUCUAAAAUUUUACUGUAAUGCACUAUAGAAGUUUUUAAAAAAAUUUUGUAGAAGUUUUUGUAAAGUAAAAAAUUUUGUAGAAGUUUUUGUAAGGUGAAAAACUUUUUUUUUCCUUUUUUUUUUCUUUCUCUUUCUCUUUCUCUUUCUUUUUCUUUUUCUUUUACUUUCUUUCCUUUUUCUUUUCUUCUUCUUCUUCUUCCCCCUCCCCCUUCCCUGUUACCUCCGCCACCCCCAGCAGCAACUCCACCAAUGCCACCUUCCGCCACCCUUCUCCUCCUUUCCUCCCACCAUCCCCUCUGUCCCCGCCACCCCUCUCUGUGCCUUCUCCCUCUGCCCCGCUACCCCCUCUGCCUCACCUUCCCCCUCCCCGCGCCACCCCUUCUGCCCCGCCACUCCCCGCCUCCCCUGUUUCCCUUCCCGUUUCUCACAAUCUUUCUUUUCUUUCUUUUUUUUUCACAGAGAGGUGGGGGAGGAAAUGGGGGAGACGCAGAGAGAAAAAAAAAAGACAAGAGGGGAGGAUGGUAGGGGAGGAAGAGGGGGAGAGGAAAAAAAAGAGGAAAAAAAAGGGGAAAAAAAAGAAGACCGGCACCAGCACCGGAAAUGGACAUCGGAGCCAGCAACGAAGGUGGUGGUGGGGGAGGAAGAAGAGGAAAAAGGGAAGGGAAUUUUUUUUUUAUUGUGUUUUGGAUAUUUUAAGUGUGUAGGUUAAAAAUUUUGAUAAGUUUUUAGGAUUUCUGUAGCACAAGUUGUUAAAAAACUAGUAUAAUAAAAACUUGAUAAAAUACAAGCCUUCCAAACAGGCCCUACCAUUUGUCUUCUUCUAUAUGUCAAAGUUUGAAGCAGUUAACAUCGUUACGUUGCCAUCAUCUCUACUUGUACAUCUUGAAUGCGUUAGCAUGGUUCAAAGUUGCAGCCAGGGUCGUAGUUCUAAUUGUUUCAUAUUGGUCUUGACAUAUCGAUCGUGGUUUCGAUGAUGCGUAAAUUUUUAAAAUAUUUAAUAUUUUAAAAAUUAUAAAAAAAUAUGAUAAAUAAAAAUAAUAAAAAAUUAGCAAAUAUAAGAAAAAUUCAAAUUGACUUGAGACGAUUCGACUAUUUCUAUUUAUUUUGGAGCCGUGUCAACCGAAUUUUCGAUGACUCAACUGAAUUCUCGGGAUUCAUUAUCUCGAAACCAUCUUGUCCCUGUAUUAGAACAGAAAACAGCCCCAGUUGUCUCGGACUCCCGGUCUCUUACCCCGAAUCGUCUCGUCUCGGUGUCUGCCAAGUCUUUGAAGUUUGAACCAUGUGCGUAGGCGGUUCCUAGCUGCUUCCCACCUACUACGUCAGAUGAAUUAGAAUACAGGUGUAUUUUUCAAAGCUAACUGCUUUACUGGUCUGGCAACCAACGGACACAUGAUAUGAGGCAACGCUUUCUUCUUAGCAAACUCAUACUAGGAUUGAUGUCCCUCUUCUGAUUAUUACUAGCCUUUUCACAUCAAUAUUCAAAGGUGUGUUUUCUCCACCCAUGAGAAAAGUUCAUCAUUAAUUUAUUUGCUUAGCUUGCUUUUGAUCCAUGAAAUCCUGCUGAUUCAACAGGGACGCGUGAACAAAGCCUAUGUCGCCUUGGAAGCAGCAAGAGUUAUAGAAGAACCCUUCUCAGCUUUGACUUUUGAUGCACCGCCUUCUUUUUCCCACGAUGCUCUGUCUCACUAUGAUUUCAGGGCAGCACUGCGAGGGCGAACUCGGAGACCUAGGCUUUCUCCACCAUCUCCAGUUAUCAAUACCCCUAUUCAUUUCAGUCCACCACCUCCAUCUCAUCCACCACCGUCGCCGCCGCUAGCACCGGCGCCGCCACCACCAUGUUAAAUUGUUAAUGUAUGUUUGGAACAGCCAGAAAUAUAUGUAUCCAGUUUCUCUGUCCAUUAAGUGUAGCCAUGUACUGCUUCAAAUAAAAUCAUCGGGCUCUUAUUAGUUAUUACUGAUUUGAUCUCCCUGUAUCUUUCUUAAUUUCCAAUAAAAAUUGAAACACUGGCUCCUAGUGUUAAUUAUCACUUCAA